GAUGAACGCUGGCGGCGUGCCUAAUACAUGCAAGUCGAGCGAACAGACGAGGAGCUUGCUCCUCUGACGUUAGCGGCGGACGGGUGGGUAACACGUGGAUAACCUACCUAUAAGACUGGGAUAACUUCGGGAAACCGGAGCUAAUACCGGAUAAUAUAUUGAACCGCAUGGUUCAAUAGUGAAAGACGGUUUUGCUGUCACUUAUAGAUGGAUCCGCGCCGCAUUAGCUAGUUGGUAAGGUAACGGCUUACCAAGGCAACGAUGCGUAGCCGACCUGAGAGGGUGAUCGGCCACACUGGAACUGAGACACGGUCCAGACUCCUACGGGAGGCAGCAGUAGGGAAUCUUCCGCAAUGGGCGAAAGCCUGACGGAGCAACGCCGCGUGAGUGAUGAAGGUCUUCGGAUCGUAAAACUCUGUUAUUAGGGAAGAACAAAUGUGUAAGUAACUAUGCACGUCCUGACGGUACCUAAUCAGAAAGCCACGGCUAACUACGUG
rnacentral:rRNA from 1 species